ensembl:lncRNA
UUUACCAGUUUUAAAAGUGCAUGGUGAGGGGGAAGGUAUUGCAUUAAUUGACAUUUGUUUCUCACUAUCCAAAUCUUCUUUAACUGGCAAUAAAUUAAAUUGAUUUUCCCCAAGUUGAGUCUGUUUUGCUCAUGACUGUAAGUGGUAAGUGAUCUCCCUGUCUUUGAACUGAUGGGCUUUUUCAGCCUGUUUUCAUGCCUGUCCUGUUGAGGAGGGAGGAGUGGAAGAAUGGCUAGGUGGACAAUGCAACCUACCACAGCUGCUUCAUCAUCUGAGGUAUGAACCUCACAGGUUAGGAACCCUAACCUGGGAAAUAGUGGACUGUGAUGUUACAGGAGGAGGUCCUACUUUGAUACGAGUGAUGUCUAAACUGUUUCAGAUGGGUGGGACUAAUGAAAAUGUUUCUUCAUGGCAGCUGCUUCUCUGGAGUGAAUUCUUACCUGGUUAACAGGGCUUUCUGUGUAAUCCCACAAGUACUUACUGAAAACUUGUGUUUGAUCUCAACUCACAAUGGCAAAUAGUGACCUCUUUGAUUAUUGCAAGCAAAUAUUACUUUGAGUCCUUUGAGCAAGGCACAGAAUUGAUCACAUUUUACUUUUUAAGAAGUCAUUCUAUGUGUAGUAAGGGAGUGCAUGGUGUUUAAAUCGGGGCUUGUAUUUCUAAAUGUGUUCUGGCUGGGCCUUUGAAUUUCUGCUCGUUCACCAUUUCACUGUAGUAGAUCUCAGCUGUGGUAUCUACUAGGGAACCUGUCUAGCUCAUUACAGUUCUGCUGGAGAGUAUCAACCAUAUUUGUGUUUUACAGGUUUAAAUGUAGUGGAGGCAUUCUGAGAAAAUUAUGCUGCUGCAGUAUGUUCUCCUUCAUCUACUCUGGUAGUAUUGCUCUUGCUGAUGAUGAGGAUGGUAGCAGCAUCUUCAGAGCGUUAUAGCUAUGCUUCAGAAGGGGAUAAAGCUUGGCAUGUAUGAACUUCUUUGCAAAGUGAUCUGAGGUAUCACUAGUGAGAUUAGCUAACAGCUGCAAAAUGGAACUGUUUUGCUAUGGAUAGGUGAUAACAGAAAAUAUCGCAGUCAGUCAGCAUUAUACUCAUUAGUAAGGUAAGGUCUUUCAAAUGUUGACCCAAGACUAACACUUCAGGUGAUAUGAUGGCAUUUAUUCUGAGAUUACAAACAAAAGUGGUGAUU